rnacentral:rRNA from 1 species
GACAGAGGGUGCAAACGUUUUUCGGAAUUACUGGGCGUAAAGCGCGUGUAGGCGGCUAUGUAAGUCGGGCGUGAAAUCCCACGGCUCAACCGUGGAAGUGCACCCGAAACUGCGUAGCUAGAGUCCUGGAGAGGAAGGUGGAAUGCUUGGUGUAGAGGUGGAAUUCGUAGAUAUCAAGCGGAACACCGGUGGCGAAGGCGGCCUUCUGGACAGUGACUGACGCUGAGACGCGAAAGCGUGGGGAGCAAACAGG